rnacentral:rRNA from 1 species
AGCAGCCGCGGUAAUUCCAGCUCCAAUAGCGUAUAUUAAAGUUGUUGCAGUUAAAAAGCUCGUAGUUGAAUUUCGGGGUCAGUAGGUUGGUCAUGCCACUGGUAUGUACUGGUCUCACUGAUUCCUCCUUCCUGAUGAACUGUAAUGCCAUUAAUUUGGUGUUGCAGGGAAUCUGGACUGUUACUUUGAAAAAAUUAGAGUGUUUAAAGCAGGCUAACGCCUGAAUACAUUAGCAUGGAAUAAUGAAAUAGGACGUUCGAUCCUAUUUUGUUGGUUUCUAGGAUUGACGUAAUGAUUAAUAGGGAUAGUUGGGGGCAUUAGUAUUCAAAAUUGUCAGAGGUGAAAUUCUUGGAUUUAUUGAAGACUAACUACUGCGAAAGCAUUUGCCAAGGAUGUUUUCUAUUAAUACAAGAACGAAAGUUAAGGGGAGUCGAAGACGAUCAGAUACCGUCGUAGUCUUAACCAUAAACUAAUAGCCGACUAGGGAUCGGAUGAUGUUAAUUUUUUAAAUUAGUACUCU